CCUAGAGAGUUAGGGUAUUGUUCUCUAACCCAGGGUUUUUGGGAGAGACAGUCCUGGCCAGUUUCAGUGUACAUAAAUACAAGCUUGCUUUAAUCUGAUUUAAAAUUGGAGUUGGUGGUCUUUUCUUUGUGUUGUGGUUUAACAAUUCAAGACGACUGUAAUAUUAAUCCAUAAAAGGAAAGUUCUCUCCAUGUUAACUCUGCUAUCUUUCCAUUUGUAAGCUCUGUAUUUAUAGAGAAAAAGUUUUAUUUUGGCUAUUUAUUUAAUGUCUUUAAGCCAUAGGUUUUUCUAAGAAACAAAACUGUACAAAAGUGAACAAGUAGAUUUUUAAUUGUUUUUACAGGGUCAUUGUUUAGUUAUAAUUUUUGCUUAUAAGUCAAUGAAGAUAAUAAAACAAAGGUAGUAGGUCCUCUGUUUCUGCAGUUUCCAUAUAUGUAGAUUAAAUCAACCAUGGAGCUACAAUAUUAAAUAUAUAUAUUCUUAACAAAAUCAGGUGGUUUUUUCCUGUCAUUAUUCUGUAAACAUGAUAGCAUAACAACAAUUUACACAACAUUUACAAUGUAUCAGGUAUUAUGAAUAAUCCAGAGAUGAUUUUAAGUAUAUAGGGAGAUGUUUGCAGGUUAUAUUUUAUUUUAUUUAAGGGACUUGAACAUUCACAGAUUUGGUAUCCACUGAGGAUCCUAAAAACAAUUCCCUACAUAUACCAAAGGAGAACUGUACAUACAUUCAUAUAUAGAACUUUGUUUAAACUUCUAAGUUUUCUUAGAAUCCAUCUUAACCAUAACACAAUAAUUAGUUGUUUUUUUGUUUGUUUGUUUGUUUGGGGGGAAGGCUGUUAUUUUUGUUAGUGGGGAUUGAACUCAACCACUGAGCCACAUCCCCAGACCUAUUUUGUAUUUUAUUUAGAGACAGAGUCUCACUGAGUUGCUUAGCACCUUGCUUUUGCUGAGAUUGGCUUUGAACUCAACAAUCCUCCUGCCUCAGCCUCCAGACUCCUGGGAUUACACGCAUGUACCACCAUGCCAGACAUUUGCAUUUGGGUCUAUUUUUUUUUUUUUUACCUGAGAUUUAAGAAGUAGAAAUUCAGUAGUAGAUAUAGUUAUAAUAAGCAAUUGUCUGCUACAAAACAUAUUGUGAAUUUUUUGAGGUUUGUAUUUUCCUUUAAUACAAUAGUUUACCCAUUGGCCCACAAAGCUUUGAUAUGGAAUACAAACACUACCAAAAACUUCCCUAUCAAAUAUCUAAAGGAGAAAACAUGGUUUAUAAAACCUUUACGUUACACCGCAAUACACUGUAAAUGUCAAGCUUUUGGGAAAAGGCACCAGUGCACAGAAGUGCAGGCCUUAAUGUGCUUUAGCAAGUACAGGGGAGAUGUGAAGGGGCACCUUUGGGGCUGUAGAAGGCUGGAUUCUGCAAUCCACAGAGCUGCCUUGGGCCUGGACAGACCAGCCACGCCCUCCAAUCUUUACUCCUGUCUGGCUCCCCGGGAAUUCCUUUGACCCCGCCCUGCAAGAGCCCCGCAGUUGGUGGCCACGAGACCCAGGCAUUGCAUUACAACCGCCAUCACUGUGGCCAGGCCGGUUAACCACACAAUACUGUCUCUCCUGAUAAUCCUCUCAGGCCUGGCGUGGCCGACCUCUGGUGGCCAGAGUAAGUAAAGGGCCCAACUGGAUCUGAGGGCAGCCUUUAGCAGAGACCUUUAGCAAGAUGAGCUUCAGCCUCCUCGCUCCAGAAAGCUCAGACUGGUGAAGGAUGCAGCAGAGCCAAACCUGUUUCAAGGCUCUGAUCCUUGAAGGCCCCUGAGCCCUGGUGGUGAGAAGGCUCCCUGCAAACCCGGGAUACUUGUCCCUCAUUUAUGUGACCUGUAUAAGAAGAGGUGCAUCUCCUGUGGAGGUGCGGGAAAGAGAGAGUCUGCAUGGGGUCCGGACCCUGGGAUGGGGUCUUCCGUUCAGGACUGAGGUCAACAGGCCCCAAAGUGUCUCUGGAUAGCAAAUCUCUUGCUCUCACAGGAUCUUCUACCUGGGAUCAGCAAGGUGUAGUUUUGGAGCUUGGAGUGUGUGCAAAUGCUAGGGCUUGGGAGUUUAAAAGGUGAUGAAGGGAAAGGAGACAAGUGAAGACUGAAGAUUCUGCUCCCCACUGGGGAACGUUGACCUGUGCUUUUUCUUGCUGCAGGCUCUAAAUCAUCACUUCUGCAAAUUACAGUGCCGGAGAAGUUUGACAAAAACACCAACCGUAAGGAUGUUACAGAAACACACGUGACCUAUAGUAUCACUAUUGAGGAGAAAACAUACAUUCUCUCUCUCAAAAAACAGUCAUAUUUAGCCCCAAAUUUCCCAGUGUUUUCAUAUAGCAAGUGGGGAUCAUUACAAGAAGAUUCUUUAUUUGUUAAGGUAAGUUUUGAUAUUUUCUGUGUUUUAAUUUGGUUAAGGUGCUAGUGUUGGCAAGAAAACGGACGCUUUAUACUCUAUAAUGUUGUUGGGGAAACAGAUAACAAACACCUCCCCCCCCAGGCAAAUAUGGCAAAUUUCUUGGAAAUCAUAUUGACUAAAACAGAUACUUUUACUUUACUGGAAAUCACAAAUCAUUUAUCAAUCAAUAAAUAAAUAAAACAAGAAGAAGAAGAAAAAAAAAGGAGAGAUCUAGGUAUAUAAGAAGUUCUUUUUAGAGAGAAAAAACAGAAUGGUGAGUGUGAGGAUGCAAAAAUACGCCCAGAAUCUUAAGUAGGUUCACAUGCGAAUCAUUGGAACGUGAAUGGUUUCCAAAAGGCUUUCGGGAGCUAGAAGGUUUUGGAAAUAUGUGAGAAAAUAAGUGUGUAAGAUAUUUAUUUUGGUUGAACAGAUUGGUAAGAGGCAAAUGAGAGUGAUGGGUCAGAUUAUUUUGCUAUAUCAGAACUGAGAGAUAAUGUGAUUAAAAAUAUGGUAACUAUAGUCUGUUUGGUUCACCCUACCUUAUGCAAUUAGUAAGUAGAACAAAAUGAAAGAGAUAUGUUACAAUAGGCUGAUUGGGAUUCAAUUUGGCUUUCGGACUGGGGAUACUAUCUGGACUACAGCAUAGGGGUUGGAAAGAAGCAGAACUCGAGUUCUGAGUUCAGAGACAUCGAAGCAGUUGAAACUUGCAUGGCACAUUGUCAGAGAUGUGGGGGUGUACUGUCUGCAGCCCACUUUGCUAGAGUAGUGGAAUGGGUUGCCAAGAGACCAAAGAAAGCACCCAGAGAGGGCAUGCAAGAUGUAUAUUUUAUUAAAAACUGCUUACAGGUAAGGUCCAGUGAUGACAGUUUGAACUGAUAGCACUUGCAUCUGUUUUGUUGAUAAAGACAGAAUUUUACUUUUUUUGACAUCUGAAUAUUCCACCAUUUAUACAAAUUGCAUUUUUCUUUUCCAUUUUUCUUUUGUAAGGGAAGUUAGGCUGAUUCCAAAUCAUAGCUAUUAUCAAUAUUAUUGCAAUAAAAUGGGCAUAUAGGGGCCUUUUUGUAAUAUUGACUCCAUUUCUUGGGCUAUAUACCCAGAGUUGGGAAUCACUGGGUCUUAGAGUAUACCUACUUAUAGUUUUUUUGAAGAGGUCUUCCUUUUUGUUAAUUGUUUUAUGUCCUUGGGCGGUGCUUCCUUGCUUGACUGUGAAUUUGGCUACACCUAUGUGCUGAAUUGUUGUGAGUGAAAUAGGGAUAUAAAUAUCAGACACUAUUGGGAUAUAUUGGUAUCAGCUGAGGUCUGGUGGAAUCAUCUUGCUAAGUCCCCAGGCAUUCAUCUAAGAUAAGAAAAGAUUUUACUAAGAGAAAAUAUUAAAAGUCUAGAGGGAGGUCCACCUUAUCACCCUCAACCCUCUAACCCAAAGUCAAAACCUAGCAGUAAGAAGGUUAAUUUGAGUUACCAUUAAAUUAAUUGCCUUCUGUACAAAAUGCAAUACUGUAUAUAGAGAGGUUACACAUAAUAUAGAAUGGAAACCAUUCAGAUAAAGACAGAAAUUAAUGAGACAGAAACAUAGAAAAGAAUAGGAAAAAAAUCUACAAGACCAACCUUGAAUCCCUUGAAAGGAUUAGUGAGAAUAAUCCCACGUAAGAACUCUCUAGAACAAAAAUAAAAAUAUCUACAAAUAUUAAGGAUGGAGAAUCAUUAUUACUAGUCAUACAUAAACCAAAAUAUUUUACAAUUCUAUAAUGGUUUCAUGCCAAAAAUUCUAUCAUUUGUUUGAUAAAGACAAUUUAUCAAAAUUUAGACAGGAAAAAGUAAACAAUCUCAGUUGACAUUUAUUUAAAAUUUGAAUUUUUAAACACCUACUUUCCCAGAUUUAGUUAAUCUCACUUUAGUGUAUUCCCCAUGUUCUGAGGAAGAGAGGAUAUUACCUAUUGAGAGGUGACUUGGCUGUUGCAGCUAUGGUAUUAAAAAUAAUGCUUUCAAGAAUAUUCAUGUGCAAAUAGUUGUGUGGAUGUAACAUUUUAUUUCUCUGGGAUAUGUGGGUAAGGGUGUGAUUACCAGAUCCAGUUGUAAAUAAAUGUGUGUUUUGGUGAUUUUUUUAAGAAAAUACCAAAUUAUUUUCCAGAGUGUCUAUAGAAUUUUAAUAUGCUCACCACCAAAGUAUGAGGGAUAGAGCUCUUCAUAAUAAUCAACAUUUGGCAUUUUAAUCAUGCACACACAUAGACAAAAUAUUAGCUUCUCUCAUUUAGCAGUAUCUCGUGUGGUUUUGAUUUGUGUUUCUUAAUGGCUAGUGAGUGAUGGAUAUAUUCUCAUGUGCACGUCACUUUUUGAGAUAGGUCUAUUUAUGUUUUUCUUUCAUUAACUGGAUUGCCUUUUAAAACUAUUAUGCCAUUAUAUGCAUAUAUUUUAAAUCCACAUUUUGUCAGAUGCUUUUUUUGGAAGUAUUUUCGCUCAGCCUGUGAGGUACUGAUUAGAAAGUAAGACUAUUUCAUGACAACUUUUUUUUCUAAAAGUUUUAUUUUUCUAUGCAUGCUGUUUAAUUCUGUGUCUGAGACAAUUUUGAUUAAGGUGUGCAGGGUUUGUGUCAAGGUUCAUUCUUUACUAGUUAUGUAACUGUCCAAUAACUGAUAGAAAAGGCAGCCUUUUAACAUUAAAAGAAAAUAUUGUGGCACUUUUGUCAAAAAUCAGUUGGGCACAUUGGUGUGGAUAUAUUUCUGUGCUGUUUAUUCUGUCCAAUUCUAGGUGUGUGUCCAGUUCUAUAAUGUCACUUUCUUUACUCUGCUUGCUCAUUAAAUAUUUAUAUAGACUACAGUGAUCCUACUGUAUUCUUCUUUCUCAAGGUUUCUACAAUGUUCUAUUUCGAGAUUUGUCUUUUUAACAUAAAUGUUAGACAAAGCUACUCCAUAUGUAGAAAAAAUAACUCUACUUGCUAGGAUUGAGCUAUAAAUUGUUAGAUCUGUAGGUCAAUUUGAGAAGAAUCAACAUUUUUAGUUUUCCCUCCCCCAAAACACAGUCGGUCCAUCUCUAUUUUUUUUUAUGUCUUUCAUUAGAAUUUUAUAAUUUACCUUUUUCACCUUCAGCUUAUAUUUUAAGGUUUACAAAUAAAUGUUUCAUUUCCUUUGGAGCAAAUGCUACUACUGUGUUUAAAAAUCAUCUUCCAUUUGCUUGUUUUUAUCGUCUGGAGAUCAACUUACUUAUGUGUGUUUAACUUACAUGCUACCAGCUUGAUAAAUUUUCAUAUUAGUUCUAAAAGUUUUUUUUUUUCAGAUUCCUUGAAAUUUUUUUUAAUAGACACUUAUUUUACAAACAGGAAUGGUUUCCUUUUCUCUUUUUCAAUCUGUCCACUUUAAAAAAUUUAUUUCCUUUGACUCAUUGUGCUUGCUACGAUCUGCAUUAAUGUGCUAGCAGUAAUGAAGGUAGACUUGCUCCAUGUAUUCCCUAUCUUAGGAAAAGUGUUCAGUCUUUCACCAUUGGGGAGAAUGUUGCCUGUAGGUUUGCUUAGACUCUUUAUCAAGUUGAGAAAGCUCUCUUUUUCUAAUUGCUAAUUGUGUUUUUCUUUUUCUUUGCCAUUAGUGGAUGAAGGAGUUUUUAAUUAUAUCAAAUGAUUCUUCUGUAUCAAUUGGUAGGGUCCUAUGAAUUUUUUCUUUGUUUUCCUAACAAGGUAGAUUGCACUAAUGAAUUUUCAAAUCUUGAAACAGUCUCACAUACCUAGAGAAGCAGCAUCUUGGGCCUGGUAUAUAAAAUUCCUUUUCUCAUGAUUGAGAUGAUGAUGAUGAUGAUGAUGAUGAUGAUGAUGAUUUUGAUAAUUUCUUGAAGAUGGAUGUUAUCAAAGACCAUCAGAGACAUUGAUCUGUGGAUUGCUUUUUGUACUAGCUUAAUCCAAAUUUUUUUUCCGAUUAAAAUUUUAUUUUAUUUUAUUUAUUUUUUUUUAAUUUAUUUUUUUUAUUGGUUGUUCAAAACAUUAUAAAGCUCUUGACAUAUCGUAUUUCAUACAUUAGAUUCGAGUUGGUUAUGAACUCCCAAUUUUACCCCAAAUACAGAUUGCAGAAUCACAUCGGUUACAUAUCCACAUUUUUACAUAAUGCCCUAUUAGUAACUGUUGUAUUCUGCUACCUUUCCUAUCCUCUACUAUCCUGGCCUCAAAAAGUGCAUAGGCAAGUCUUUCCUAUAUUCUGGAAAAUGUUGUAUCCAAUAUGUGAACUUUUAACAUGUUUGGUGAAGUCAUUGGUCUAUAUGAAAUGGGUACAUUUAAGUUGCCAAUUCAAUUUAUUUAAUGGUUGUAACAAUAUUUAUGUUUAAUCUGUGUUGCUUUAGUGUUUGUGACCUUUGAGGAAUGUUCUCUCUUAUCUUGGUGUAUUCAUAUAUAUAAAUUUGUUCAUUACAUGUCUUUAUUAUUCUUAGCAGAAGCUAUAGGCCUGCUCUUUCUUGAAUUGAUUGUUUGUGUUUUCUUUCUUUUAAAUUGAAUUGAUCAAAGAACCAGCUAUCUCUUCUUUGAUUUUUCUAUAUUGUUUUCUUAUUUAGAACUGUGUUUAUUAUUUUCUACAUCCCAGUAGUUUGGAGUGAACUUUGGUCUUUUUCUAGGUUUUUUGAAGGAAAAAGUCAUCUUGUUGAUCUUUCCUCUUUUCUAACCUAAGUAUUUUCCUACUAAAAUUAUCCUCUCAGAACAGCUUUGGUUGCAUCCAACAGCAAUAUGUUUAUUGUUUCUUUAAUUCAGAUUUACCUGUAACCAUAUUUAAUACAAAUACAUAA